CAACUACCACCUCUGAAGCAAAACUUGCCCUGAACUCCCUUGGGGGACCCAACCCUCUUACCCCUGUGGUCACACAAUGCACUGCCAGGCUAUGAUUUAGUAACUUAUCAUGUUGCCCUGUGCACUUCAUAAUGGCAGGAGCCAUGUCUUUUUCACGUUGGGAUCCUCAGGCCAUCUGACACGUCUGAGGAGAUGAACACUCCUCAGAUGAACAUAGCAGAGCAGGGGUAGGGCAGGGUUGACCUGCACACAGAGGGAACAUCAGGGUGUAUUAUGAACAUCACAUCAGCCUCAAUCCUCAGCCCUGCUCACCUCUGUCCAUGGUGUACCCAGUGCCCAGCACUGUGGUCACUCUGGGUUACUGCUGGAGGGGCUGCUCAAGGGCAAGUACAUGACCUGGGCCCCGAACAACACAUCAUCCAUUGUGUCUAGCGUCACAAUAGAGAGCAUGACCCAAGGGAAUGAGACAGGGGAGGCAGAAGCCUUGACAUAGAAGGAGUAAAUACCAACCAGACUGUAGGACACAGAAUUCAGAGUGAUGAGGGUAGCUGUGGGCCGCACCACUCUGCAAGUCUUCAGAGUAUGAGAGCUGUGACAGCCUUUGAGGCUUUCCUUCCUCCACCCAGUCCAAGACCUACAUGGCGAGGGCAAGCACAUGCAUUAGAACCUAGAAGUAUUUUGUGGAAAUGGCAUAAGCAAAGCAUCUAAGACAUUUAUCAAGAAUAUCUGAAUAUCAACCAUCAAGCCCCAGGCCGAGGGGAGCUGGGAAUAUUUCAGGGCACAUUAACCACUGUUGUGAAGCCUGACCGCUGUUACCUUGAUAAAUGCUGAGCAGAUGGAAAAGGAGAAUUUGGCAAUCACAGAAGCAUCAUGUCCCUUGACUCUGGCCCCUCUUCAGGAGGAGAGAACAGAUCAUGGAGACCAGGAAUCCUUUGGUCUCACGGAACAAGCCUUCAUUCAAAGAAACUCAAGGGAGAAGUUUUAUUACAAGAGGAGCUCAGAGGACCCAAAAGGGAGAAGUAUAUUUGGUCCUCAGGAGAUACCAGAACCGCGGCCUGGAGAGGCGUCCAACUCCAUAUUUAUAUCUUAUUGUCUCCAUAUUUAUAUCUCUGUCUUACCUUCAGGCAGCACAUGAGAUUUUAACCACGUUUCUCUCUUUAGGUGUUCCUCCUCUCUCUCAGCAACCCCACUUCCUUUGCUGGCUUUCCUCACGGACUAUGUUGAAGGCACCAGAAGGAUGGUGGUACCAGUGCUGUUACUAUUACUACUACUACUAAUAGCAAGCAAUUGAAUAACGGCCAGAACUGUUCUGAGCACAUCACACACGUGAACUCAUUUAGCAUAACAACCUUAUUAUUUUUAUCUUCUAUUAUUUAUGUUUAGUUCACUUGUUUAUAUGGCCUUUUUACUAUUUGUUAUUAUUUUAUUAUUAUUUACCAUUAUCUCUAAUUUCAAGUUGUGGAAACUGACGCAAAGCGGUGACGCGCCCAGGACUGCAGAGCUGGGACGCGGUGGAGUCGACAUGGGAGCCCUGACAGACUAGCCUCAGAAGCUGUGCUUUCACCAACUGAGUCAGAUUGCCCAGAACCCACUAGUUCCCAUGACCUUCCAGAUCCAGCUAAGGAGAACCAGCUGCACCCAGGACACUCUGGGGUACGGUCAGGGGCAGCAGGUCAGUUAGGCCAAGCUGCAGGGGUGGUGACCAGACGAUGCGAUGUGAGUGUGAGGACCCCAAGGAGGUAAACGUUGUUUGUGCAAACAUUUUCGUUGAAAACAAUCUUUCAAACCCAGACUCCACCCAAUAUAACAAAAAGGCUCAGUGAGAAAAGUCUGGGUUGCCAUAGGACUAGAGGCAGCUCAUGACUGGCAAUAACAAUACACAUGUUUCUUGUAGGAAAUCACCUUUCAGCCUCCUGUACCCCAACUCCAAAAGGCCAUGUCCAAUUUGCUCUUUAGGUCAAUGAAACAAAGAGUGAAAGCUACUGAUGGAGUGGCACAAAAGCGUAAAAGAACAACAAAGAUUUUUGAAUGGAUGGGAUUCCUCUUGCUCCCCACCCCAAAAUCACUGACACCAGCGAAGAGUCCUGGGGCCGCCUGCCUCUGGUACAGUGGUGAGGUGGACCAGAUCUGAUCGGGGGCCGACAGGUCUUAGUUUUAUUGCUGACCUCACUAUUCCUCGGCCGCCUGAUUCUGGGCCAGUCACCACACAUUCUGGCCUCAUUGCCCACCACUGUGAAGUGGAAUGUUAAUAUCUUUUCUCCCUCUCAGCUCUAAGUA
ensembl:lncRNA